rnacentral:lncRNA from 1 species
CUCAGAGACAGGAGAUGCGCGGCGCCGAGAAUUGGCCAUGUUUUUCUUUCAGCCUUUGAACGAAAACAACGUCGCCCGGUUGGAAUAUUAUCGCUAUUUUACGAGAAAAAUAGCAUAAAAAUUGAUUUUAAACAGCGUUUGACAUGCUUCUAAGUACGGUAACGGAAUAUUUUGAAUUUUUUUGUCACGACAUGCGUCCGCGCGUCACCCUUCGGAUAUGGACCUGAACGCACGAACAAAACGGAGGAUAUUUGAACAUAACUAUGGAUUAUUUUGAACCAAAACAACAUUUGUGGUAGAAGUAGAAGUCCUGGGAGUGCAUUCUGACGAAGAACAGCAAAGGUAGAUGUUUAUUCCUGUCGGCGCGACGCCCUGAGAAGCCAGGUGGCUGUACCGACUCCGACAGCAUAUCCCGAGAGAGCCACGUUUCCGUGAAACAGAGUCACUCCCCUCUCAGUGAGCUUGUCCAGGAGUGGGAACAAGAGGUGUUUUACCGAGGAUGGGCCACUAUGAGAUAGCACUGACGAAGGAGAUUUAUGGUGUAUUUUGAUAAGAACGCCUAAAAAGCAUUCCAGAGGACAUGAGCUAAUGGUUUUGUUCUAUACCGUACCAGGGAGGGACGGUUCUAGGGAGACCAGACACCGGUCAAUAUAAUGAACACUGUUGACAUAGCAGUUACUGCCUGCUGUGUUUUAUGGAUAUCUGUCAUACAAAACUUAACCUUUGUGACCCAUUCUAUGUAUCUGUGGUUUGUCAAUGUACGUUGAAGGGGGUGUAUCUUUGCUAUAAAAUAUCUCUGCAGCCAUUGUGUAAUCACCUUAUUCAAUGGUUAAUUCGAGAGAGUGCAUUAUUGAAGGUCAAAGAGGCUUUUGCAAAAGUAUCUUAAGUAUUAAAGAUGUAGUUAACUUGGA